rnacentral:rRNA from 1 species
UACAGAGGGUGCAAGCGUUAAUCGGAAUUACUGGGCGUAAAGGGCGCGUAGGCGGCCACCGCAAGUCGACUGUGAAAUCUCCGGGCUUAACCCGGAAAGGUCAGCCGAUACUGCGGGGCUAGAGUGCAGAAGGGGCAACUGGAAUUCUCGGUGUAGCGGUGAAAUGCGUAGAUAUCGAGAGGAACACCUGCGGCGAAGGCGGGUUGCUGGGCUGACACUGACGCUGAUGUGCGAAAGCUAGGGGAGCGAACGGG